GACGAACGCUGGCGGCGUGCUUAACACAUGCAAGUCGAACGGAAAGGCCCUGCUUUUGUGGGGUGCUCGAGUGGCGAACGGGUGAGUAACACGUGAGUAACCUGCCCUUGACUUUGGGAUAACUUCAGGAAACUGGGGCUAAUACCGGAUAGGAGCUCCUGCUGCAUGGUGGGGGUUGGAAAGUUUCGGCGGUUGGGGAUGGACUCGCGGCUUAUCAGCUUGUUGGUGGGGUAGUGGCUUACCAAGGCUUUGACGGGUAGCCGGCCUGAGAGGGUGACCGGCCACCUUGGGCCUGAGGUACGGCCCAGUCUCCUACGGGCGGCAGCAGUGGGGAAUAUUGCGCAAUGGGCGGAAGCCUGAUGCAGCAACGCCGCGUGCGGGAUGACGGCCUUCGGGUUGUAAACCGCCUUCGCCUGUGCCGUAGCGUUAGUGACGGUAAUGGGUAAAGAAGCACCGGCUAACUACGUG
rnacentral:rRNA from 1 species